rfam:Salpingoeca sp. ATCC 50818 unplaced genomic scaffold supercont1.11, whole genome shotgun sequence.
GGCAACGUUCAUACCAACGGGAUCACGCCCGCUCUCGUCCGAUCGCGGAAGCUAAGCCCGUUUGGGCCCGUUCAGUACUGCCGUGGGUGACCAGGCGGGAAUCACGGGUGAUGUUGCUC